GGGGGAAUAGUUAAAUGGUAUAACUACGGUCUCCAAAACCGUUGUUCUGAGUUCGAUUCUUAGUUCCCCCG
rnacentral:tRNA from 1 species